AGGGGGAAUGGUCGGGAUAGCUCAGUKGGUAGAGCAGAGGACUGAAAAUCCUCGUGUC
rnacentral:tRNA from 1 species